UACGAAGGGGGCUAGCGUUGCUCGGAAUCACUGGGCGUAAAGGGUGCGUAGGCGGGUCUUUAAGUCAGGGGUGAAAUCCUGGAGCUCAACUCCAGAACUGCCCUUUGAUACUGAGGAUCUUGAGUUCGGGAGAGGUGAGUGGAACUGCGAGUGUAGAGGUGAAAUUCGUAGAUAUUCGCAAGAACACCAGUGGCGAAGGCGGCUCACUGGCCCGAUACUGACGCUGAGGCACGAAAGCGUGGGGAGCAAACAGGG
rnacentral:rRNA from 1 species